CACAGCAUUUGUGCAUUCAUUCAUUUUGGGGUGCUACAAGUAAGGGGCUCUCUCUGCUCCACCUGUGGUGCUGUAGUUCAGGUGCUCCUGGGUUUAUAGAUCGACUUCACAUUGGACUGUCCUGGUUUAAUUGUCUUUAACAAAAAGCAAACAAAAGCAGAAGCUAGUAAUCUAUUUGAUCAACAUUCAGAGCCACUUUUUAAAAGCUGGUGGAAACAAAAUUGCUGGAAACUUGGGAAGUCAAUGGCUACACAGCUACCCCUGGCGUACAUCCCAAACCUGUCAACGAGUGGCAGGGGGUGGCACUGCCUGUCACAUCUCUGCUUUUGGAAAAGAUCAGAACCCUGAUGGUGCAGCCAUACUGCAGUUUCCAUAGCAAAUCUCAGACAAGAUGUUCCCCAGGAGAGUUUUUUGAUAUCACCAUUUUUCAGUGGCAACACCAGGUCUGGUACAUUUGGCAGAAAAAGUAA
rnacentral:lncRNA from 1 species